GAGUUUGAUCCUGGCUCAGAUUGAACGCUGGCGGCAUGCCUUACACAUGCAAGUCGAACGGCAGCACGGGCUUCGGCCUGGUGGCGAGUGGCGAACGGGUGAGUAAUACAUCGGAACAUGUCCUGUAGUGGGGGAUAGCCCGGCGAAAGCCGGAUUAAUACCGCAUACGAUCUGAGGAUGAAAGCGGGGGACCUUCGGGCCUCGCGCUAUAGGGUUGGCCGAUGGCUGAUUAGCUAGUUGGUGGGGUAAAGGCCUACCAAGGCGACGAUCAGUAGCUGGUCUGAGAGGACGACCAGCCACACUGGGACUGAGACACGGCCCAGACUCCUACGGGAGGCAGCAGUGGGGAAUUUUGGACAAUGGGCGCAAGCCUGAUCCAGCAAUGCCGCGUGUGUGAAGAAGGCCUUCGGGUUGUAAAGCACUUUUGUCCGGAAAGAAAUCAUUCUGGCUAAUACCCGGAGUGGAUGACGGUACCGGAAGAAUAAGCACCGGCUAACUACGUGCCAGCAGCCGCGGUAAUACGUAGGGUGCGAGCGUUAAAAUCGGAAUUACUGGGCUAAAGCGUGCGCAGGCGGUUUGCUAAAGACCGAUGUGAAAAAUCCCCGGGCUCAAACCUGGGAAACUGCAUUGGUGACUGGCAGGCUAGAGUAUGGCAGAGGGGGGUAGAAUUCCACGUGUAGCAGUGAAAUGCGUAGAGAUGUGGAGGAAUACCGAUGGCGAAGGCAGCCCCCUGGGCCAAUACUGACGCUCAUGCACGAAAGCGUGGGGAGCAAACAGGAUUUAGAUACCCUGGUAGUCCACGCCUAAACGAUGUCAACUAGUUUGUUUGGGG
rnacentral:rRNA from 1 species